rnacentral:lncRNA from 1 species
AUGCCCCGCAGCGUUCGAUCUCAGGACCCGGACACCCCGGGCCACGGUGCCCUUGGGCUUGGCGCGCGGCGCUGUGUCAGCGCCCGCCUCUCGCUUCCCGCCUCCUGCCUCGGUGGCCGCGCAGGGUGGGAGUCGAGAGCAUCCCCAAGCGCCCAAGCCAUGGUGGCCAAACAGCGGAUCCGGAUGGCUAACGAGAAGCACAGCAAAAACAUCACCCAGAGGGGAAACGUAGCCAAAACCCUGAGGCCACAAGAAGAGAAAUAUCCUGUUGGGCCAUGGCUGCUGGCCCUGUUUGUUUUUGUUGUCUGUGGCUCAGGUUGACUACAUAAAUACUGGCUUUUCCUGGAGACAGCCAGAGAAAGUCACCCCAGAGACCAUCAUGAGGUGCAUGAGAACCGGCCAGCCCCAGAGGACCAAGACCGACGGUCUGGAGGAGACAUCUCAGCAGCCAUCGACUCUCGCAAGCUAUCUUCCAGAUCAUACAGAGCAUAAGGAUGGGCAUGUGAGAGGGCCAGGAAGUUGUAUGCGGAUGCCCUCCUGCUGGCAGGUGAAGGACCACUGAGGCCUUCAGCGGGUCUUAUAGGAAGCAAACAAGCCAUGGGUGAUAGAAAGGAGGCCCCCUGUUUCCUCCCACGCCAUGGUGGAGGUCAGACCAAAUUGCCUUCUCACAAGACAUCUCCGUGCAUCUGUGUCCUCCAGCGGAAAGGACUCUGCUCUUCUGUUGGCUGAUUGGAAGUCACGUGGGGGGCCGGGCGGCGGCGCUGGCUGGCUGGCUGGUUCCCCGGGUUUCACUGUGGUGUGCAUGUGGCCCUCUGAGCGACCACCCCUUUACAUCCUGCCAAUCAAUCUCUUCUGUGUCAGGAAUUGGUUUUACAAAUAAAUGUCUUCAUUCAACCUUAA